rnacentral:tRNA from 1 species
GGGGAUGUAGCUCAAAGGCAGAGCACUUGCCUAGCAUGUGCAAGACACUGGGUUCUGUUACCCAGCAACUCUA